UACGUAGGGGGCGAGCGUUGUCCGGAAUUAUUGGGCGUAAAGAGCGUGUAGGCGGUUCGGUAAGUCUGCCGUGAAAACCUGGGGCUCAACCCCGGGCGUGCGGUGGAUACUGCCGGGCUAGAGGGUGGUAGAGGCGAGUGGAAUUCCCGGUGUAGCGGUGAAAUGCGCAGAUAUCGGGAGGAACACCAGUAGCGAAGGCGGCUCGCUGGGCCAUUCCUGACGCUGAGGAGCGAAAGCCAGGGGAGCAAACGGG
rnacentral:rRNA from 1 species